rnacentral:lncRNA from 1 species
CCAGGCUCCUGUUGCAGGCUCCGGAGGGCAAUGAGGGCAGCCUCCUUCACAUUUGGCUGGGGGUCUCCACAUGCCAUUUCUAGGAGCCGCUGGGGUACUUCGCACUGUAACAGCUCCUCUCCCAAACCUUCAGGUCCCAAGUUGCCCAGAGCUGAUGCAACAUUGCGCCGGAUACCAGCCUGAGGAUCUCCAAGCAGCUGGGUCAUACUGGGCACUGCAGCUGCCAGGGCAGGUCUCAGAAGACCAGCCUGGUAGGCUGCAUUGCCCACAGCGAAGCUGGCACUGCACCGCACAAAAGGAUCCUUGUCUCCAAGCCCAAGCAGCAGAAGGCUGAGCAGUCCAGACUGGCUCUGCAGUGCCCCACGCAGGGCCAUGCUGUGUUGGAGCAAGUGUCCCAGGAGCCUAUAAGUGUGUGCCCGCACAGAAUUCUCUGGGUGGCCCAGGAGGCUGCGCAGGGGCCGAUAGGAUUCAUCAGAGCCAGCCAGAAGCUCUUGGAUAAAGGACAAGUGGCUGGGAGACAGGACCCUGGCAGUAUGGGCCAGCAGAGAGAGAAGGUCGGAGGUCAGCAGUGGCUGGUCACUCAGGAGGGCAACUGAGAGAAAUGAGACGAUGGUUCUAGGGGAGGCAGACACUGUGUUCACAAACUGGUUGAGAGAGGUGGGAUCCAUGAGGGCCAGGCGUGUGAGAAGGCUGAUGGGCAGCUCCACUUGCAUCAACGGAAGAUGGUAGCAGCAGACCUGAGAGAACAGGAGGUAAAAGGAUUCAGGGAGAGGGAGAGUAUAUGCAGCUAUAAAAAGCCCAAAACCUGGGAGAGAGAAAAGCCAAGCUAUGGUGAGAAAUGCCACAGACAGCUGGAAGUCCUGCCCCGCAGCACUCCACAUGAGACACAACGUGGAGCCUGAGACAGCAGGUUCUUUCCAAGAUCAUUCCUUACUUUGCAAGGGCUCAGUCUCUGCCUUCAAAGACUCACUGUGAAAAAACAAAAAGAAACAACAAAAGAACAAAGACCCACUGUGCAAUGCCAAGAAUUGCCAGAAACAUGAUUCCUGGCCAAGGAGGUGAGUCUUCAGUGCCUAGACUAGGAUGUUCUCCCCAAUGAGCACCAACAGAACCAGGUGACGGACUGAUGGAGAGGAGGAGGCACCAACCCAGCUCCCACCACAUGCCUCCACCACAUGCGCAGGUCUGAGUACUGUCUCCACGCCAACUUUUGAGUCAAGCCAGCUGUUCCAUGCUUACAGGGGCCUAGAAGAGCCCUGGAGCUGCUGGGAAGUAAAUUAGAGGAUACAAGGUUGGCUAUCUUCCUCUCCCACCUUCAUGCUAGCUGCCCAAGUACCUGCAGCAGAUGGGCUGCAACUUCUGAGUCCCUGAGGUCGGCCAAGACACCUAUAAGGAGGUCAGCAUCCAUGUCCAGCGCAAAGGGGAAGCAAAGGAGCUGGCAGACAGAGAGCACCACGACAGGGAGAAACUCAGACCCAUGAGGCCUAAGGAGAGGAAUGUCGAAGAGACUUGGUCUUGUUCACUUAACCUUUAUCAUUCCUCCCUCCCUCCUCCAAUUCCUUUGCCCAACUCCCCUUCUACAGUCUCAGCCACUACUUAGGUUUCCAGCCUAAACCUGAUCUCAUCUUUCUUGCUUUAUAGCUCAAUCUGUCAGUAACUUCUUUCCUGCCUUCUUCUUUCUCCCUCCCCGUUGCUGACUCUGUGGCUCUCUUCUAGCUCAAACUCACGCCUGGCGCAGUUGAUUCAGGAAGCUGGGGCAAAGCAGAUGCUUCAGGAUGGACAUGAGGAUACUUCCAUGCUGGGACAGGCAGCUCAGGCAUAACUGGGGCUCCUGGGUAAAGGUGGCCAUGGCCAGGCUCAGCAGGGCUGCCAUGCCUGGUAACACCAAAAAUGGAGACCCAAUGGAACAGGCAAGACGCCCAGAUACCUCUGCUUCCCCACAGCUCCCAGGGCUACACCUAUUCAGUCCCUUCCCCAUCUUAGAGCAGCUCUAGUGCAGACACUGCUUCCUGUCCCCAGGCAAAAGCAAAAAAAAUAAACCUCUGUGGGUUAACCCAGUUCUGGGCUGCCUCCUCUUGAAGAGAGAUCAAUGCACUCCCAAAAAGGAUACUGAUAGAAAGAUACCCUGGGGAGAAAUCAGUGUCCAGUCUGGCUCAGGGCUUGGUGGACUGGAUAGCGAAAGCUCCCCUUCCUGUGCAGAUGCCUCCUCGGGGAGCCUCAGGACCAUGGAGAAGCGGUGCCACAAAACGGUCCACAUUUCUGAACUGCACAUAUCCCUGAUUAGGCUAGCCUUCCCCUGCUAGAGAUAAAAGUGAAAGAGGGCGGGGGGAAAGACAGAAGUCAGGAGUCCAAAUGCUUUUAUUCAUUCCUGUCCCUGACUUACAAGGAAAGGAAGUCCCAGAAAUAAUUCCUUCCGCUUUCCCACCUAGUAUUUCCCUGUCGUCUUAUUUCAUUUUCUUAUCAAACCUUAACCCUCUGACCUCACAACUCAUGUGUAUGUCUACUGAAACCCAGGGAAUUCAUUUUAUCUCCCACUGGAUCCCAGGGGACGCAGCGAAUGGUUUCCUUCAAAGGGUCAGUACUGAGGGCAGGCGGGGAAGUUCCAAGGCUAUCACAGGCACAGUAGCUUGAGAGGGAAGGCUGUGGGUUGCUUCUUCAUUCCUCUGGUCCAGAGGCUCCCCAAAAUGCCCAGUUCCUCUCUCUUUACUUCCCAUCCAUCCCAAGAUCCAUCUGUACCUCAGUGAGGAGCUGCAACAGAAGGAUAAGGAGGCCAUCAUAGAAUCCACAACUACCUGGUGGAGUCAACCGAACCUGUCAGAGAGAAACAUGAAGAAUGCAGGUGCCUAAGAGGAAUGGGGUGUCCGUUAAACCAAGGCAGGUCAGUGAUGGUGCCAUGGAGGGAACAGAUUUGAGAGUCAACCGGAAGGUAGAAUAUAUGGGGCCUGGGGGAACCAUUUCGGUGG